rnacentral:rRNA from 1 species
UACGGGGGGAGCAAGCGUUGUUCGGAUUUACUGGGCGUAAAGAGCGCGUAGGCGGCCCUGUAAGUCCGCUGUGAAAGUCAAGGGCUCAACCCUUGAAUGCCGGUGGAUACUGCAGGGCUAGAGUCCGGAAGAGGCGAGUGGAAUUCCUGGUGUAGCGGUGAAAUGCGCAGAUAUCAGGAGGAACACCGAUUGCGAAGGCAGGAUCUCUGGGCCACUACUGACGCUGAGGAGCGAAAGCGUGGGGAGCGAACAGG